GUUUUUUUUUCGUUUCCAAGAGGCACGGCCGUGACUCUCGCGAAAGCACAACCGCGCCUCUCGCGGAAUCAAAACCGUCCUCUCGUGAAAGGAAAAAAAAUAGAAAACACAUUUUUUUCCGUUUCCAACAGGCACGACCGUGCCUCUCGCGAAGACACAACCGCGCCUCUCGCGAAAACAAAACCGUGACUCUCACGAUAGCGCAAUUUUUUUUGUCGAAAAGCUAGGGAAGACCGGUGAAAAACCAAAACGUCAUAAAAACCUGGAAAAAAACGAUUAAAAAGCCAAAACACGUGCAAAAAAAAAUCGGAGGGAGCGCCGAGAAUGCGACAUGUGACGAAUGGCUAAGAGCGUGGCAAGUGAUGCUGAUCGUUACGAGGCUCCCGAAGAAGAGCUCGUUAAUCUGUUGCUUCCGGUUUCGUUUGAGACUCCUCCAUUUCGAUUUCGGCCCACUAGUGGAGUGACUCGAAAUGCUUGACCGAUCAUGAGGCCUCCUAUAUGACCGAAAUUGUGAAGAGUUCGUAUUGCAAAAUCGCUUUCACUUUCUUAUGUUGCAACAAGUGGCGCACUGCAUGUGCGCUACUUGUCACAACCUGGCAAUUUUUGUUUUCUUUGAUUCGUUUAUUUAAAACGUUUUAUCUCUUAAACCGUGCGUUCAAAUCUCGAACCGUUUUCAUCCUUAAAUUCUUCGCGUCGAAUCUUCAAAACUACAUCCCAUGUUGAUAGGUUUUGACGAAAUAUUUUUCACCAAAAAGACGGACGAAAAUACCGAACAGGGAGCACGGAAUUUUUUCCCUUUCCGAAAGAGGCACGCCCGUGCCUCUUGCGAAAUCACAACCGUGCCUCUCGCAAAAGCAAAAUCGUGCCUCUCGCAAAAGCAAAAUCAUGCCUCUCGCGGAAGGAAAAAAAAGGAGAAAACAUUUUUUUGUUUCUGAGGAGGCUCGCGAAAGCACAACCAUGCAUCUCGCGAAAGCAAAAUCGUGCCUCUCGUGAAAGAGAAAAAAAACUGAAAUCAUUUUUUUUUCAUUUCCAAGAGGCAUAGUCGUGCCUCUCGUGAAAGCACACAAACAUGCCUCUUGCAGAAGCAAAACCGUGCCUCUCAUGGAAGAAAAAUAAAAUAGAAAACACGUUUUCCGUUUCCGAGAGGCACAGCCGUGACUCUCGCGAAAGCAAAAGCGUGUCUGCCUCUUGCAGAAGCAAAACCGUGACUUUCGCGAAACGAAAGAAAAAAGAAAGGUGUUUUUCGCGAAAAAACCAUUUAAAAAGACGAAAACGCGUGCGGAAAAUUUAGAAAAAAAUCCGGAGGGAGCGUCCAGAGCGCGAGACGUGGCGGGCGGCUGAGAGCGCAUCAUGUAGCGCUGAUCGUUGUGAGACUCUCGAAGGAGCGCUCGUUAAUUAGUUGAUCUCCUAUAUGUCGCAGCACGCACUAAGAACGCAGCGGGCGCACACCCCCCGCUCCCCCUCCGCGCCUUUCUGGGCCGGCCCAUGUGCGGCCGGCACGCCGCCUGUUUUUGUUUCGUCUUUUCCUUCGCGUUUUUUUUGUUUUUUUCAGUAAUUCAGGAUAUCAACAGCUUCUAAAUUUCAGUAAAAGUUAUUAAUUUGAAAAAAAACAAUCAUGAUUUCGAAAUAAAUAUUUCAAAAAUAUGCUCGGGAAUUCAAACAAUGUUCAUGAAGAUGUAAAAAAAUGUUCACGAAUUUAAAAAAUUAUUCAUGAUUUCAAAAAAGUUCAUGCAUUCACGAAAUGUUCACGAAUUUGCAAAAAAUGUUCAUGAUUGCAAAAGAUGUUCACAAAUUUAAAAAAAUGUUCAUGAUUUCAUAAAAAGUUCAUGCAUUCACGAAAUGUUCACGAAUUUGCAAAAAACGUUCAUGAUUACAAAAAAAUUGUCUUAAAUUUAAGAUAACAUUCAUGGUUCAAAAAAAUGUUCGUGAAUUCAAAAAAUGUUCAUGAUUCCAAAGGAAUGUACAUUUUUUUGAAUUUGAUGAACAUAUUUUGAACAUCGAUGAACAAAUUUGGCACUUGAUGAACAUUUUCUUUAAUUUGAUGAACAAAAUUUGUGUUAGAGAACAUUUUUUUGGAAAAAUUAUGUACCAAAUUUGCAUUCAAUGAACGUUUAAAAAAAUGAUGAACACAUUUUUAAUUCAGUGAACAAAUUUUGAAUAUGAUGAACAUUUUUUGAAUCUGAUGAACAAAAUCUCAAUGAAAAAAAAAAGAAGCCGAUGAACAUUUUUAGUUUGGUGAACAACGUUUGAAUUUUUAUGAACAAUUUAAAUCUUAUGAACAAAAAAUUUAAUUGGAUGAACAUUUUAGGAUUGUUGAACAUUUUUUUUGCAUGGUUGAACAUUUUCCGAAUUCGAUGAACAAAGAAGUUUUUAAAGAAUUCGAGAUAAAAAAUGCCAAAAAUAGUCAAAAAGUGAAGAAGAAGAAAAUAGAAAAAAAGGGAAAGAAAACAAACGAGAAAGAAAAAUUGGAAAGAACAGAAAAAUGAAAAAAAAACACUAUAGAAAACAUAAAAACAAAAAAAAAAACGGUCCUGGGAAGAUUCUAGAACCUUCCCAAAACCGGCAGAACCAGAGGAAGGGAAGCGAACUGGGCCGUACCGAUAAUGGAAGGAAAGACGCAGGCGGGGUACGCGCUACGGUGCUACACGGCUACCUACGCGCCAUAUAGGAACCACGACCGAUCAUCCCAUUCCCACGCUUUUUCGCAGGUUGGAGAAGGUGGACUUGAGGAGCUCAAGAAGCAUCGCCAAGAUCGUCGGAACCGUCGUCUGCCUCGCCGGAGCAAUGCUCAUGGCGUUCUUCAAGGGCCCAAAGCUUCUCGGCGCCCUCCUCCUGCCGGCGACCGAUGACUGGGUGAGAGGCGGCAUCUACCUCAUGGGGAACGCCUUCUGUUUCUCCAUCUGGUACAUCUUGCAGGCAAGCAUUGCAUGCACCUUGGCUUGAAAACAUUACCCUGUUACUGUUAGAUUAUAGACAAAAUGUGUAUGCUCUGUGCGAUCGAAGAGAGGGAAAAUGAUCAAGUCCGCGGUCAUUUUCAGGUACCGGUCUGUAAAUCCUACCUUGAUCCACUAUCCUUGGCAACCUGGAUGUGCUUCCUAGCGACCUUGCAAUGCGCGGUGAUGGCCUUCUUCCUAGAAGCAAACUACAUUGAGAUCUGGAAGCUUGCUUCUAUUUGGGAGCUCCCCUGCAUCUUAUACGGAGUAAGUUUUUAGUCCAUUUAAAUGCACGCAAUGGCAUGGUAAUCCACAUGUUAUUCUGAACUGCGUCGAAUGUUGAUAUAUAAUGAGUUUGGCCACUCAACAACAUUGAACAAUUUUUGCAGGGCGUUUUCGCAUCGGGUGCAAACUUUUUUAUGCAAUCUUGGUGCAUAUCAGUGAAAGGCCCACUUUACAGCGCAAUUUUUACACCGCUGAGCGCGGUCAUCACAACAAUAUUGUCUACGCUCUUCCUUCACGAGGAACUGCACAUUGGGAGGUAUGUCGACGCUUCGUUCCUCUUUUGGUGGACUGAACUUCCUAUUCUGCUCAGUACAUAAUCACUGUCACUGUUGAUGAUGUUUACGAUGAAAUUGUCUGUGUGCAGCGUGUUGGGUGCUAUUGUGAUCAUCCUAGGCCUGUAUGUUGUGCUGUGGGGUAAAGCUGAUGACGCAAGCAGCGAGGGGCUGGCCAUCCACUCUAAUGAUUCUGAAAGCAUUUUAGAGCAAGAUUGUAUGGGUGUAAAAGUAGAAAGUGGGAUCAAUCUUUCAGAACCAUUGUUAUCAUCUGAAAACGCGGACGCUGAUGCUUCGAGACGCCAGUGAUAUUGCAGUUUUUCAGACACAGCCUCCAGCCUUUGAGUUAUAAUGAUCCCUUUUUCUGAUACUUCUUCCACUGCCUGCUUGUUGCCAAAAUAUGUGUAUAUAUAUUUUUUUCAUUGGAUAGUUCUUGGCCAAUGGGCAAUGGCCAUGCUAAAUUAUCAAACACGCAGUCUGGCUGUCUGCACAAUGCUUAAUGUGCCGAUCAUAUAUUUGACCCAGCCAGUCAGGAACCCAUCACUGUCCGGCAUUAUGAGGAUUAAUCAGGGAAGAUGGAAGAUAUUGGAAGAUGCCAAUUGGCAAGGACUGAGACCUAUAUAUGUUAAGAAUGACUACUAGUCUAACAAGAGAGUCACACACAAGGGACGACAAGAAGGCGAUGCCUAGCUACAACUAUUCUUGCAAGUGAAAGUGAAACAAAGAUGAUAUCUCUUCAUUGUUUACUCAUGACAGUGUUACCUAAGCUCUUCCUUCAUGAAGAACUCCAUACUGGGAGGUAUGCACUAACUUCAUUCCUCAUUAGGUCCACUGAACCCUGUUGUGUUCAGUCAUAAAUCAUAAUAACUCUUUGUUGUGGAUGAUGUUUACAGUGAUCUUUUUCCUUUGACGCAGCGUAUUAGGCGCUAUCACCAUCGGCCUCUAUGUAGUCCUGUGGGGUACAGAAGACGAUGGAGAGAGUGAGAGCAUGGUGGAGGAGAACAGGCCCGACCCUCGCGUCGCCCACACCGGGCGACUCGAGGGGAACCCCAGCCGCCACCGACCGCCGCCCCUCCUCCCGGCCACCCCCGCGUCGCCGCCGCCGGAGGGCCGGCCGACGAAGCCGCGCCGGACCCAGGGAUGGCGGCGGCGAGGCCGUUCUUCCCCCAUCCCGCUUCACCCCACGCCCUUUCCCUCCACAGCUCCUCCAGAUCUGUCCCCUGGCGGCUCCAGCGGCUUCCACCGGCGCCGUGAGCGGCCUCCCCCGGCGGUGUCUUCCCCGCCCGCUGCUGGUGUGGUGGGUCUCCCUCCGGAUGCGGCUCCUCCUGCUGCACUGGUCCCGUCUGCCCCAUUUGGAUCUGGGGCCCAGCCGGUUGUGGUGCUCCCCAGCCCGCUUGCCGUGGCGGCCGGGCACGCCCUCCUUGCUGCGUCCACCCCUCCCCCGACCCCCGCCACUCGUCCCUCUGCCGUCGCGGGUUUCCUGGUGGUCGCGCUUCAGCACCAGAUCUGCGGGUUCAGGUGGCCUUGUCGGCCGGCUCCCCGUGCUCUCUCGUUGCGGCCUCGCGCUGGCCGUGGUGCACCUCAGCCUCUCCUUGUUGGGCGCGGCGCCCCGGCGUGUUGCUGCUUCUUUGGCCCUCCGUAGCUCGCUUCGCAGCUCAUGGCUGCCUAGAUUGUUGGGCUACGGCGGUGGUUGGCCGACUUGCUCCGGUUGCGAGGUGGAGGAGGCACUGCCGGGUGAAAACUUCAUCGACGAUGACGGCUGCAGCCGCCAUUUUUCCUUCUUGAAGGCGUCGAGUUUGGCAUUGUUUCCCUCCCCCCCAAGCACUCAGAUCCCGAGAGAAAUCUCGGACCCGGGGUUCCCCGUGUCGGAUGGUGUCGACGUCUCUACGCCGUUUCCUCCUUGGGGGCAUCUUCUUGGAUUUCUUCUGCUUCGGGUGGACUCGCCUCUUGCUGCUUCCUCUCCACCUCGGCUUCGAUCCCUGGCUGGCCAUUGUCCUUGGCGACUCGAGUGGAGCUUGCUUGGACAUCCUGGGGUGGCCUCGACGACGCGCUGCCCUUCGACCUCGGCGGCAGUACACCGGUACUGCGCCCUUCGGUCUCGGUGGCGUGUUGCCUUCUCGGCUUCGCUGGCGGCACACCGGUGUCGCCACUCGAACUCGGCUAUUCGACGCUCUUCGUUCGCGCCAGUGAUGCUUCUCGAUAUGCUUCUACUUCGGUGUCUCCUUUCUAUCAGGGAUGUGCUUCAUGGUGGCCCGGACGACGUUUGCGUGGACAUCCUGGGGUGGCCUCGGCGGCACGCUGCUCUUCGACCUCGGCGGCGGUACACCGGUGCCGUGCCCUUCGGUCUCGGUGGUUUGUUGUCUCUUGGCUUCGCCGGCGCACACCGGUGUCGCCGCACGAACUCGGCUAUCCGACGCCCUUCGUUCGUGCCAGUGAUGUUCCAUUGCGAGUUUCUGUUAUGGUGCCCGUCUUUUUCUCCCUAGGCCUUGUUGUGGUUCAUUGUCAGUGGUGGAACAAGCUGCUCAGCGGAGCUUGCUACCUGAGAUGUCGGCCUCCAGGGGUUUCGGUUUGGUUCUGUUGCCAGCCUUCCCCUCCAUUUUGUGUUCUUUCUUCUAGUUUUGGGCUUCCUCUUGAAGCCCUCCCCUGUUAUUUUCUUUUGUGCCUUUGUGCACUUACUUGUAUCUGUACUGACUGCCAAGUCACUUUCGAGUGGGAAUAUAACAAGCGGUGGGGUUUUUGGCCCCCCCGUCAAUCUCGAAAAAAAAAAAGAGUGAGAGCAUGGUAGAACAAGAGAACAUCGUUGUAAAACUAGAGAGUGAGAACAAUCCUUCAGAGCAAUUGUUAUCUGAAAACGCGGACGCUGAUACUACUUGGACAUGCCAAUGAUAUUGCGCUACUCUAAAAAUGAGCCUCUGGCCUUUGAACUGAUAAUCAGCUGUCUCCCAUGCUUCCUUGAACUGUCUGUCACCCAACAAAACAAAAAAAUUCGUGACUUUGCAGCCAUGCUAAAAUUAUCAGACACGGAGUCUGGCAGUCUGUUGAACGCAUAUGAUCUUCGGAGCAGAUUUGACCCAGGCAGCCACGAGCCCAUCGCUGUCCAUCAUUACUAGGAUGACUGAGCCAACAUGGAAGAUAUAUAUCGGAAGAUGCCAGUUGGCUAUUAAGACAGUGAGGCCUAUGUUCAGAAGGGCUACUAGUCCAACACGAAAGAGUCGCGCAGAAACGACAUCGGCAAGGUGGUGCGAUGCCUAGCUAUAACGAUUCUUGCAGACGAAUGUGAAACGAGUUGGAUAUCUUGGAGGUUGUGGUGGGCUGGACCUGCCUCUCCCAUGAAUCAUCAUCCAGCACAUAUGUCUUCAUAGCUUCUCUUUCUAGUAAUACUUCGGUGGGAAGGAUGGCACAAAUAGUCAGAGAAGAUUGAGAGCAUGCCUGCGCGUCUGUCUGCCACCUUGUAUGCAAAUGGGGACGGUAAUUAGGUGCACAACUUCAGGCAGUUUCUCCUUUACUCAUAACUAGUAAGCUUGCACGUGCAAUGCACGUCUUGAUUAGUACAAAAACAAUAUAAUGAGCAAAUGAAAUGAUGACACAAUCAAUUUUAUUAUCUGAGAAGCACCUACUCUCAAUCAUGCACACAUAAGUAAACCACAAAAACCAUGCAUUCAAAAUCACUAAUGUGUAAUACUAAUUCAUCAUCCCUGGUAAACUAUUAAAAAGAUAAACAAUUGCUCACAGAACAGACUAUGGGUAGGAAUAUAACAUAAAUGAAUAGAUACUGUCCCAUCUCCAUUGAGAUGCCUUCACCAAGAUUAUGUUCUCUACUUCAUCAUCUUUAUCCCGAGUCAUUACUUAAAAGUUAUUAAGUUGUUCAACGAUCAACACACAAUAUCAGAUAUAAAUAGUACUCCCUCUAUAAAGAAAUAUAAAAGCGUUCAGAUAGUGAUCUAAAUGCUCUUAUAUUUCUUUAAGGAGGGAGUACAUACUUUCAUGGGGAAAUAGUAAAAAGAAAAUACACUUUUCUAGCAGUCUGAGUACAUAGUCGUACUGCCAGGGUAAGAAAUUGACAAGAUAAAAAAUCUAGUAUUACAUCAUCAGUACAUGGAAACCUCAUUGGCACACAUGAAUGCAUCCAGAAAUGACCCUGGAUUGCCAUCACAAGCCAUUAAAACAGCAUCCCAAUGUUGCAAAAAGGGUUGCUUGACAACCAUUCUAUUACUCGAGCUAAAAACCAUUUCCAAACACUGAGCAAAUCAUGUCCUUCUAGAGAUAAAAAUAGAAAUAUAAGAGCCUUGAUAUGCCCGUUAUCUGAUUAUCUUACAGUGAAGAAAGCCAUAUAUCUGACUGCGAGUGUUAGUGAAAUCUGUAUGAUUGUACCAUCGAAAAUAAAGCCCAGCCAUAGUAGAGAUGCGAUUCCAAAUGCAAGGCCCAGAGCAACACUGGUCAAAGAAGAUACAGAUUAGCAUUGGUAGCAUAGUUUGGUAUCAUCUAGUUUGGAAUUGUAAAUCACAUAUGCUCCGAGUGAAACUUAUGAUAAAAACUUUAUUAUGGACCCUGCACUGGAAGUUUUUCCGAGAACCGUUCAAUAAAAUAACUGAUAGACAACAAUAGCAGUCCAGUAGAAUGCAAGGUUAUUUAGUAAGAAUACAGUACAAAAUAAUCUUAUAAUUGUACAUGGCGUAAUUUGGUAACUAUGCAAUAACCCAAUGGUGGGUGUGCGUUGGCUAUGUUUCAAAGUUCAGUCGUGGGCAGAAUUAUCAUUGUCGGUUACAUUUUCCCGGAUCAAAUAAAUAUGAGUUGGCCGUUGCUUCUUCUUAAGAAUAUGCAAAGUAGUUUCAUCCAAACACAUCCCACCCUGCCCCAUCCCAAACCCCUCUGGUCUCUUUUUUCCAACAUGGUGCGAUUUAUUUUAAAUGAAGUGAAAAUACACUUGUAUUAAAUUUCACAUACAAGUGUACCAAUAUAAUGUAUACUUUUACUUCUUAGUGUGAAGCAUACAUUCUAAAGCCCAAAUAGACUUGUAAUCUGUAUACUAUGUCAAUCAUUCCAUUUUGAUUAUCAUAAUGGAACUGCUCCCAAUAAAACACAGGAAUGGGCAUGCAGACAAGGGGAAAGCAUGCAUUCUAAAAAAAAUCAAAAGAUGAACAAUUUGGGAGUCAGAGUACCAUACCUAUCGUUCAUUAAGGAUUCUCCUUCGAUUAUCGUACUGAGCUUUUUGCUUGCGCCUAGGUCUUUUAGAAGAGCAAUCAUAGUAACAUGAUCGGUUGCACUGAGCGUCCGCCGAACAAGAAUGAUGUUUUCCAGUUCCAGUCAUACGGAAAAGUAAGCUACGACAAAUUAGGCAUCGGAACAUUAAACUGAAUUGCCUAUGUCCGUUAUCAAUCCAGGCACACACAUACCUUUAUAGGAGCGCCAAGCAAAAAUGUUGAGAUCACCACACCUAGAACAGCAAGUAACACCAUCUGUACCAUGCAUUUCUUCUGCAAAGUAAACACUUUAGUAUACACUGAAUAGUAAUAUAUGCAUCUGCGGUGCUACAUAUAACAGUUGAACACUGGAAGCUGACCAUGUAAGUAAAUCUGAUGGCAACAAGCCAACAAUUAAUCACAACACCAUCUCAACUUAGAGAACCAUUUGUUUCCUAUGGGCUGCUGAGCGCCAUGUUGUGCCCAACCCACUGAAUAAUUAGUGUCAUAUGCACCCGAAUAGCAAAGCUUAGUGACCUGGUCAAUGACAUAGCUUGGUGAGAGCUAGAGCAACUUACUUAGUUCUAUCUCUCGUUCUCUUUACAACUUUCAGAAAAGUAAUCUUGCAACAAUGACAAUGGUUGGCAGACCUUGUUGCUGCAUGCAUUUCACAAGUACACUGACUGCAAGAAAAUUGUACGAAGAGUAAUCCACAUGGUUUAGGUAGAAGCAAUCCCACAACAGGUGGGCACAACCAGUACCUUGAAGCAUCAAUAGGAAAAUUGCCAUAAGAUUUUCCGUACAGUUUUGUAGUAUACUUACAAAUUAUUUCGCCCUGUCCAGCUUUUCACACAUUAGUUUCAGAUAAGUUGGUCCUAACAAGCCAGUUCAUAUAUUCAGUAGUGCCACAAAUUCAGUUUAAUGCCUUACCUUGAUGGUCCCUUGGAGGAUCUACAUCCACCCCCUGCUUACUUCUUCAUUCUUCUACUGUUUAUUCGCUUGAGUUGCACCUCGCUUUUCUUAUCCCUAUUCAAUUACCCAACAGUGAAUCAAAUGAGUAUUUAGGUGAGCUAGACUUACAGAAAUUAACUCUGAAACCGAGUAUUUGUUUGAUGCUGCGGGGUACGUGUGCUCAUAAGCUACUAUAUCAGACGGAGAUCUGAUUGAUUAGCACCAAAAAAUUGAACACGUGAGGAUCCCACCAACUCUACUACUUACCAUGGAAGCUGAUUAAUAACACACGAAAAAAAUCACCGGAUUGAUUUGAAUUAAAGGUUCACCUGAUUGAUUUGUGAUAGACCAUCAGUGCCGUCGACGGUGCCCGUAGGGAGAACUGCAGGAGAUCGUCGACGGCCCAGCCAGAUGAUGACAAGGACGGUGAUGACGACACCUCCUGCGCCGUGGCCGAGACCGGCGCCGCCUUGGCGACGAUGGCGGCGCUGUCUGGGGAGGUGGUUCGGAUGCUCAGUGCGGCUAGGCAAGCCGGAAACGAACGGCGUCGUGUCAGAUGACUCGGAUCUGGGCGUCCCGUCGUCGAUCUGGUCGAGAGGAAGGCCGGAAGUCGCGAGAGAAGGUCUGGCAGAGCUUGGUCCAUGGCCAUGGUGUUCUGCAACAUGGGAACGGGGAGAGGGAGAGAGAUUAGUGAGGAGAGAGAGAGAGAAGGGAGGAGGAGGGUGUUGGCACGGCUAACCGGCCGAGGAGGUCGGCGGCGGCUCGCCAUAGCAAAUGAGGCGGUGACUGGACAUCACACAUCAGCCGAACGACGGGCGGCGACCGCAUCCAUGCGGCAGCAACCUAGCGGAGGAGCCGCGGACGGCAACGGCGAUCGCAUCUGUGGGGCAGCGGCCGAGCGGAGGAGCGGUGGUGUGAGGCGGCGGCGGCGGCCGGCCGUGUAGGGGGUGGGCGAGCGAGGGCGGUGGCGUAUGGGCGAGCGAGGGCGGUGGCAUAUGGGCGAGUGGGUAUCGUGCGUGCGAGGGGCGGUUUUUCUUAUGGAUGACUCGAUGGAGGUGUGCGUUUGAUUGUAGUGGCUUAAUGCGUGGCUUGCAGCAUUAAACACGGAAGAAUUAAGGGCCAUUAGAUCUUGACGAUUGAUGGAUGUGAUUGUUUGGAUCUGCCCCUCUCUUCCUUUUAUAGUGGUAGUAGAUGAACAAGAUUUAGGUGACACGCCGGAGAAACCAAGAAAGUGAAGGUGACACAGACCGUUCGAAAGCAUGCAUGUGCCCAUCGCACUUAAAGGCCAUCUUGGAAAAAUACAGCCUUGGAUAAGGUCCAAGCUUAAAAAUCAAAGGGCAUGUACAGCACGCUGCUGUCAAAACACUGAAUGAGAGCAAUACAUCAACCAUUUAAAACAGUUGAUGUUCAGGUGGACAGUUUUUUGCCGUGACUUUAAAAAAAAAACUUAAUGUCAAUCAAAAUGAAUACUACUACUUCACGAGCGAAUUUCCGAAAUAUACUUUUGACUUUGUGAGUCAGGCGAAACAAUCAAAGAUGCAGUUCAAUUAGAAAAAUGGACAAAAGUAAAUAUAAUAUGAAAUAAAUAACUCCAGAAUAAUCUGUUACAUAUAUAAUGGUCUGCCAUACAUAUCAAAGAACAGAAAAGAUAUAUACACAACCCUCCUCAUGACCACGGAGUAUAGAACCUAACUAGUAGAUGAUCAGAGCACAGAAUAAUCUCGCCUGUACAAAGCUAGAUCAGGCCAUCCUAAGAGAAGCACGACGAUGAAUGAAAAUGACACGACGAUCGCAUCCAUCCAAUCCAAGCAAUAAAUAACCGAGCCAAACGAUCAGGCGUACGCGCCCUGCUGCUUGUACCCGCCGCCGUUGCGGUGGUCGCGGCG
rnacentral:lncRNA from 1 species